AUGGGGAGAAGCGAGCAAAGCGGCAAGCAGAGAUACCGGUCAGGCAACGCUUUGGCAUCCGUGGUGGUGAAGCAGGAGCGCCUGAGCCCGGAACCCAACGCUCCAGCUGCUAGCCUGCCCACCGCCAAGCCUGAUGCUAGUCGGUCCCCAGACAAAAAGAAAAGGAAGUCCUCCGGGAGAAGAAGCAAGUCUCCUCCUACUAAGAGAAGCCGGGGUCCCCACUACUCCAUGGUCAAAGUGAAACAGGAACUUGAGGAACACCCACCGAGAGGACGAGAGGGUCCACAACCCCGGGAGCCAGCAGAACAGGCGCACAGAAGAGCUAGGAACAGUGAUGAGCGAGCCGGGCACCAGGACCAUUCCUGUCAAAGGAGGAGCUCUGAUGAGAGGCCUGUCAGUGGACAGGGCCAGGAUAGAGACAGCCAGAUCCUGCGGGCUCAGGAAAAAGAGAGGGACUUUCAUAAUGCCAGGCGCCAGGAGCAUCGCCAGCAGAAUGGACGUGCUGGCGGUGAGGUUCAAGAAGAAGUGAUCCCUUGCCCUGCUGGUAACAGAAGCAAAGAGGUGCCCGUUAAAGAAAAACCAUGCUUUUAACUUUCUGGGGCACUUCUUGAGGACACUAAUACCUUCCGAGGUGUGGUUAUUAAAUACAAUGAGCCCCCAGAAGCCCGGAUCCCAAAACAACGGUGGCGUCUCUACCCCUUUAAAAAUGAUGAGCUGCUUCCAGUCUUGUACAUCCAUCGGCAAAGUGCAUACCUUCUGGGUAGACAUCGAAGCAUCGCAGACAUUCCCAUCGACCAUCCCUCUUGCUCAAAGCAACAUGCAGUCUUCCAGUACCGGCUUGUGGAGUACACCCGUGCAGAUGGCACGGUUGAUCGGAGGGUGAAGCCCUACAUCAUUGAUCUCUACUCAACCAACGGAACGUUCUUAAACAACAAGCGUAUUGAGCCACAGAGAUACUACGAACUGAAAGAAAGCGACAUACUUAAAUUCGGGUUCAGUAGCCGAGAAUAUGUCUUGCUUCAUGAGUCUUCAGACACCUCUGAACUGGAGGAAGGAAAAUGAAGAGGAGGAGGAGGAGGAAGAAAUGGUACCCCACAGCUGGCAGAUGAGAGGCAGCCUCCACUAUUAG